rnacentral:tmRNA from 1 species
GCUCUUGAGAUCACCCUGCGGUCCGCAUAUAUCUUGGAUGUCCUUCGGGACUAUGGACAUAAACGCGCUCGUAAUAAGCGGAUCGGACCCGGGGGCGGUACCCGGCGGCUCCACCAAACAUCCUUCAUUUGGGGAUCAUGGGGCCGAAACAGGAUCGACGAACGUCUAAAGGGGUUUUGCUUUGUCCCGGUGAGAUACCACCGUUAUCGGUUCAAAAAGUAUAGUUGCAAAUGACAACCGUGCUCCGGUAGCUCUCGCUGCGUAAGCAGUGCGAAACACCGAAAAUUAAGCCCUUAGGCCUAGCAGCUUAAGGCGGGGUUCGGAGGUACCUGGCAACAGAAACCUCCACU